rnacentral:rRNA from 1 species
UACAGAGGUCUCAAGCGUUGUUCGGAUUCAUUGGGCGUAAAGGGCGCGUAGGCGGCGGGGUAAGUCGGGUGUGAAAUCUCAGGGCUCAACCCUGAAACUGCACUCGAUACUGCUCUGCUUGAGGACUGGAGAGGAGACUGGAAUUCACGGUGUAGCAGUGAAAUGCGUAGAUAUCGUGAGGAAGACCAGUGGCGAAGGCGGGUCUCUGGACAGUUCCUGACGCUGAGGCGCGAAGGCCGGGGAGCAAAGCGGG